rnacentral:lncRNA from 1 species
GGCAACUGCAUCGGUAUCCCAAACCUGUAUCAGAAUUAAGACAAAUACUGUUUCUUUGACAAGUAAAAGUAUUGGACUUUCGAGCUUCAGUACAAUUUUGAUUGUCGAUCACCCAAUCCAAUACCAAUGGCACAGUCUCUAAAAUUUUCUCUAUGAUAUGUGGAUCGGAGAGAUCACUAUAGAGAAAUGAGUAGCUAUCCUUCACUCCGAGAAAGGAAUAGCCACAUUUGUUAAAAGACACGACCUCUGUUUGAUUAGAUCGUCUGUCCAAGGAAAUUAAAAAGCUCUUCAGACCCUUCAGAAUGGAGGUCUCACAUAAGCAAAAUGCACCACAUCCAAGUCCGCGCCACUGACUUUCUAACACGGAAAUGUAAUCACAUCCUAGUGGGAGCUGAAAU